rnacentral:rRNA from 1 species
CCUACGGGAGGCAGCAGUGAGGAAUAUUGGUCAAUGGGCGCGAGCCUGAACCAGCCAAGUAGCGUGAAGGAUGACUGCCCUACGGGUUGUAAACUUCUUUUAUAAAGGAAUAAAGUGCGGCACGUGUGCCUUUUUGUAUGUACUUUAUGAAUAAGGAUCGGCUAACUCCGUGCCAGCAGCCGCGGUAAUACGGAGGAUCCGAGCGUUAUCCGGAUUUAUUGGGUUUAAAGGGAGCGUAGAUGGGUUGUUAAGUCAGUUGGGAAAGUUUGCGGCUCAACCGUAAAAUUGCAAUUGAUACUGGCAGGCUUGAGAACAGAUGAGGUAGGCGGAAUAAGUGGGGUAGCGGUGAAAUGCUUAGAUAUAACGAAGAACUCCGAUAGCGAAGGCAGCUUACUAAACUGAGACUGACAUUGAUGCUCGAAAGUGUGGGUAGCAAACAGGAUUAGAUACCCCGGUAGUC